rnacentral:rRNA from 1 species
CCUACGGGAGGCAGCAGUGAGGAAUAUUGGUCAAUGGACGCGAGUCUGAACCAGCCAAGUAGCGUGAAGGAUGACUGCCCUAUGGGUUGUAAACUUCUUUUAUAUGGGAAUAAAACGUUCCACGUGUGGGAUUUUGUAUGUACCCUAUGAAUAAGGAUCGGCUAACUCCGUGCCAGCAGCCGCGGUAAUACGGAGGAUCCGAGCGUUAUCCGGAUUUAUUGGGUUUAAAGGGUGCGUAGGGGGAUUGUUAAGUCAGUUGUGAAAGUUGGGGGCUCAACCGUAACAGUGCAGUUGAAACUGGCAGUCUUGAGUACAGUAGAGGUAGGCGGAAUGCGUGGUGUAGCGGUGAAAUGCAUAGAUAUCACGAAGAACUCCGAUUGCGAAGGCAGUUCACUGGACUGCAACUGACACUGAGGCACGAAAGUGUGGGUAUCGAACAGGAUUAGAUACCCGGGUAGUC